CGAAAAGCCAGUGCUGGAUUCCCACACUGGAGUAGAUUGUGGGGUGCUUCUCUGUAGAUAGAACUAAGAGAUCAUGAUUUGUUCUGGUACCUUUUCCAUUCUGAUAUACCAAUAGAAAAUUGUGAAGAGAACAGCCACACAGAAGCCAUCAUUAGUACCAUUGAGUCAGUGUGUGCCUGGG